ACUCGCCUUAAAACAAUUGGCAGCUAGCAUAUUAGCCUAGAGCGUAGCACAUUUUGCGCCUCUUGUUAUGGUUGUUAGUAUCUAUUAAGACACUUUUUAAGCUCUUAACCUUAGAUUAGGUAGGGAUACCCGCUAAACUUAAGCAUAUUAAUAAGCGGAGGAAAAGAAACUAAUAGGGAUUGCCCUAGUAACAGCGAGUAAAGUGGCAAUAGCUUAAAUUUAAAAUCUAGCUCUUUUAGGGUCUAAGUUAUAAUUUACAGAGGGCGCUUUAGCGUUAGCAGUAGUCUAAGUUCCUUAGAACAGGACGUUAUAGAGGGUAAGAAUCCUAUACGUAGUUGCUAGCCUUUGCUAUAUAAAGCCCCUUUAACAAGUUAAGUUGUUUAGGAAUAUAGCUUUAAAUAGGAGGUAAAUUUCUUCUAAAGCUAAAUACUAGCUAGAGACUAAUAGCGUAUAAGUAGAGUAAUUAAAAGAUAAAAAGCACUUUAGAAAGAGAGUUAAAUAGCACGUGAAAUUGUUAAAAGGGAAGCGCUUGUAGCUAGACUUGCCUGUAGUUACUUAUCUAGGCUUUUAUCUAGUGCACUCUUCUAUAGGUAGGCUAGCAUUAGUUUAGGCAGUUAGAUAAAGGUCUCUAUUACGUACCUCCCUUUAGGGAGGCCUUAUAGGGGAGACAACAUGUAACUAGCCUAGACUAAGGUCUACGUAUCUACUAGGAUGCUAGCGUAAUAGCUGUAAGCGGCCUAUCUUAAAAUAUAGACUAAGGAGUCUAAUAUCUAUAUAAGUGUUUAGGUGUUAAGCCUAGACGCGUAAUAAAAGUAAAUAGAGGUAGGACCCCUUUUACGCGGUGCAACUAUUAUACUAAUCCUAAUAUCUUUAGAAGGAUUUAAGUAAGAGUAUAGCUAUUAGGACCUAAAAGAUAGUAAACUAUGCUUAAAUAGGGUAAAGCUAGAGGAAACUCUAGUAGAGGCUCGCAGUGGUUCUAACGUGCAAAUUAAUUGUUAAAUUUAGGUAUAGGGGCGAAAGACUAAUUAAACUAUCUAGUAGCUAGUUCCUACUAAAGUUUCCCUUAGGAUAGUAGUAACGUAUUUAGUUUUAUAAGGUAAAGCAAAUAAUUAGAGGCCUAGGGGUUAAAACAACCUUUACCUAUUCUUAAACUUUAAAUAUAUAAGAAGUCCUUGUUACUUAAUUAAACGUAGAUACUUAAAUAUACUAUUACUAGUAGGCUAUUUUUGGUAAGCAGAACUAGCAAUACAGGAUAAACUAAACACAGGGUUAAGGUGCUAGAAUGCACGCUUAUUAGACACCACAAAAGGUGUUAGUUUAUCUAGAUAGUAGGACAGUAGCUAUAGAAGUUAGAAUCUGCUAAGGAGUGUGUAAUAACUCACCUGCUAAAUAAACUAGCCCUAAAAAUAGAUAGCGCUUAAGCGUGUUACCUAUACCCCGCCGCUAGGGCAAGAUUUAAGCCCUAGCGAGUAGGCAGGCGUAGAGGCUUGUGACAAAGCCUUAGGGGUAACCCUAGGUAGAACGGCCUCUAGUGUAGAUCUUAGUAGUAGUAGCAAAUACUUAAAUAAGAACUUUAAGGACUAAAGUAGGGAAAGGUUCCGUGUAAACAGUAGUUAGACACGGGUUAGUUAAUCCUAAGAGAUAGGGUAAUUCUGUUUUAAUGUUAGCGCUUGCGCUGCGCCCUUAAAAGGGAAGCUAGUUAAUAUUCUAGCACCUAGAUGUAGAUUCUCCGCGGCAACGCAACUAAGAGCGGAGACCUUAGCGGGAGCCCUAAGAAGAGUUCUCUUUUCUUCUUAACGGUCUGUCACCCUAAAAUUAGUUUAUCUAGAGCUAGGGUUUAAUAGCUAGAAGAGCGCUGCACUUUUACAGCAUUUAGUGCGCUCCUAACAAGCCUUAAAAAUCUGCUUAAAGAAAUAGUUUUUACGCUAGGUUAUACUUAUAACUAUAGCAGGUCUCUAAGGUAAAAAGCCUCUAGUUAAUAGAACAAUAUAGAUAAGGGAAGUUAGCAAAAUAGAUCUGUAACUUUAGGAAAAGGAUUAGCUCUAAGGGUUAGGUACGUUAGGCCUUAGGGAGAAGCCUCUAGCGCAGAAGGGCACUAACCACAAGGUAGGCGCCUCUUAGCGCUAGGGUGCAGACACCCUUAGCAGGUUUUGGCCGUCUAGCGUACGUUUAACAACCAACUUAGAAUUAGUAUAGAUAAGGGGAAUCUAACUAUCUAAUUAAAACAUAGCAUUACAAUAGCUAGAAAGUAGUGUUAACGUAAUGUGAUUUCUGCCUAGUACUCUAAAUAUUAAAGCAAAGAGAUUUAACUAAGCGCAGGUAAAUAGUAGGAGUAACUAUAACUCUCUUAAGGUAGCUAAAUGCCUUGUUAUCUAAUUAGUAACGCGCAUAAAUAGAUUAACAAGAUUCCUACUAUCCCUAUCUACUAUCUAGCGAAACCAUAGCUAAGGGAACAGGCUUAGCUAAAUUAGCAGGGAAAGAAGACCCUAUUAAGCUUAACUCUAGUUUAAUAUUAUAAAAAGAUAUAGGGGGUGUAGAAUAGGUAGGAGCUUUAGCGCUAGUAAAAUACUACUACCCUUAUCGUUUUUUUACUUAUUCAAUAAAGCAGAGCUAGGCCUCACCGCCUAACUUCUAGCGUUUAAGGUCCUUUAUAGGCUAAUCUAGGUUAAAGACAUUGUUAGGUAGGGAGUUUAGCUAGGGUAGCACAUCUAUUAAACUAUAACGUAGGUGUCCUAAGGGGGACUUAUAGAGAAUAGAAAUCUCUAGUAGAGCAAAAGGGUAAAAGUCCCCUUAAUUUUAAUUUUUAGUGUGAAUACAAACUAUAAAAGUGUAGCCUAUUAAUCCUUUAGUCCCUUAAAAUUUAAGGCUAGAGGUGCUAAAAAAGUUACUACAGGGAUAACUAGCUUGUGGCAGCUAAGCGUUUAUAGUAAUGUUGCUUUUUAAUCCUUUAAUAUUAGCUCUUCCUAUUAUACUAAAGCAGAAUUUAGUAAGCGUUAGAUUGUUUACCUACUAAUAGGGAACGUAAGCUAGGUUUAGACUGUUGUAAGACAGGUUAGUUUUACCCUACUAAUAACCUUGCCCUAAUAGUAAUACCGCUUAGUACGAGAGGAACUGCAGUUUUAGAUAAUUAGUUUUUGCGGCUAUCUAACUAGGCAUUGCCGCGAAGCUACUAUCUACUAGAUUAUAGCUAAACGCCUCUAAGUUAGAAUCUAUGCUAGAACAGGGUAAUUUCCGCCUAUACUAGUUAGAUACAAAUAGGCCUUUAGCCUAGAACCUUACUAGAUUAGCGUUAGUAGCCCUAUUAAAGUUAGAGUUAUUAGCUAGUGUAUUACAAUUAUACAGUGCGCAGGAUUAAAUCCUUUGCAGACAACUUAGUUGUCUAGCUAGGUCGUGUAAGUAGUUAAGUAGCCUUAUUAUUACGAGCUACUAAGCGUAAGCCUGUUACUAGCUUGGUUAAAAUUAGGAUAUUAUACCCUCCUUAUUUGCAAAACUGCUACCUAAAUAGCUGCUAUUAAUAGAAGGAAGAGGGCUAUAGCUAACAUGUUAUAUAGCAAUUGCAAGAUAGUGAGGGCUAGAGCUAGAAGUAAUCCUUACAAAAUAUACAAAAGAAUAGGUUGUGUGUGUACGUACCUUAGGCAGUUAAAUUAUAGCAUAUAAAGAUUAAGAAAGGACAUAAAAUAAUCUAUACAUAUUUAUAGGCGGUGUUCUAUAACUUAGGGCGUUCUAUAACCCUUUAUUUUUUAGGGGUAGUGUUCUAUAACUUAGGGCGUUCUAUACUUAAAAAAUCUUAUAGGCUAUUCUAUAACUAUAGAUUAUUCUAAACCUUUAGGGCAUUCUAUUAAUGUUUUAAAAAAUCUAGUAGGCUAUUUUAUAAGCUUAUAGCGUUCUAUAACUUUAGGGCGUUCUAUAACUUAGGGCGUUCUAUAACUUAGGGCGUUCUAUAACUUAGGGCGUUCUAUAACUUUUUAUUUUUAGGGGUAGUGUUCUAUAACUUAGGGCGUUCUAUAACCUUUUAUUUUUUAGGGGUAGUGUUCUAUAACUUAGGGCGUUCUAUAACUUUUUAUUUUUAGGGGUAGUGUUCUAUAACUUAGGGCGUUCUAUACCUUUUGUUUAUUCUAUUACUUUAGUGCUUUCUAUAACUUUAGACUAUUCUAUAAUAGUAGCUAUUAUAUCCUUUUUAUAAUCCUUAUAGUAUUAUACUAUUAUCUAUUAUUCUUUACUCUUAAGUAUAUCCUUAUAUUUUAUAAAUCUUUUUCUUUACUAGCUAGUCCUACUAUACUUUUUUAUAACCUACUAGUAUUAAAUAAUACCUUUAUAUUCUUCCUCUAUACUAUCUCUAUUUCUUGCCUUAUAUAUUAUGUAGAUAUAGAUAGAGCUAAUAGAUCUAUAGUUAAUAUAGAUAAAGUAGUUAUAGUAGAGUAUAGAUAUUAGAGUAGAGAUCCUUAUCUAUAUAUUUACCUACUACUAAUAGAAUUCUAAGUUGCUCUUAUCUAGCGAAUACGGGUUUAUAGUUUGUAUAGGGCUGCGCAUGUCUACACAGUUUUAUAUACAAAAAAGUGUACCUCUAAGCUAUUUUCUACCGCACUAACCCUGCAACGCGAAAAUUAAACUAAAACCCGUUCCUAUAAUAUAUAAGCAGGGCAAAUAGAUUCUUAAAUACUAAAUACCUAACUAACUAACUAAGGUUAAAUCUACUGCGCGUAGUUCUUAGAUUAGGCAGUUAAACUAGCGUUAUUAGGCACUAAGGGGGCAAUUUUUGCUUGUGUCCGCGUCUAUACUCCCUAUAACUCCCUAUUAUUAGCGCUCUGCGCCUAUUUUAGCGGCAGUUAGACUAAAUUUAAAAGUUUUAGUUUUAUAAUAGCUAGCCUUGUUUCCUAGAUUUCUGCCUAGUUUGGAUUCGCUCUAAUUGGUGGGUAAUCAGGGGCUUGGAGAUUGCUCUUCUGCUUGACUAGGCAGGCCUAGGCCUAUAUGCUAAAGCAACCCUACUAUUACGCCUAGUUUUGUGGUUAGCACCUAAAGUCCUACUAUUAAAGUUUUAGUAGUAGGCAAAAUUUAGGGUCUAUAGAUAGCUAGCACUACUAAACUAUUUAACAGAUCUUAGGGGAUAGCCCUGCCUAGUAUCUGCUCCUAGUAAGCGUAGCAAAGCGUAGGUUUUCUCUACUUAAGGCAUAUAUAUAGCGAGUUUAAACACGUAGAAAUGCCUAUUAGGCUUUGUUAUAGACUAUUCCUUAAGAAACUUAGUAGGGGCAAUUAAAUUAGUUGCUAGUUGUAACUAGUGCCUUGUGUGCUAUUAUGCUAGUAGCUAGAAUCGCUUCUGUGAUUUCUUAUCACGUACUUUCUGCCUCCUUUUAGGGGUAGUGCUUGUGCGCUUUAGCGUAUUAGGCAUUAGGAUUAUUACCUAGUUAAUUCUACUAGUAGUUAUAUACUUGU
rnacentral:rRNA from 1 species